rnacentral:lncRNA from 1 species
AUAGACCUCAUUACCCCGUCCGGUAUGAGGGUGAAACGGGCCGUCCCCAUACCCCGUCCGGUAUGGGCGCCAAAACACAUAAGAUCUCCAUACCCCGUCCGGUAUGGGAGACCACAAUCCCGGUAGGGUUCCCUACGGACCCGGUCCGUCCACCAUCCCCAGGAUAUCUAGUCAGGCUGACCACAUUAUACCAUUAUCCAUUUACAUAAUUGUUCAUUC